rnacentral:lncRNA from 1 species
UUCUGAUUGGUUACUUGAUGAUGAGGCUGAAUACAGCAACAGUAAUUGGCUUAAAUGAGAUAAAGAAUUACAGACUUGUCUCAUCUAAGGAUAAGACAUCGAAUGCCGGAAAAUUACCUACUAGUAUAUGUAUUAUAAUUUCGUUAACUGUCAUUAAUGCAUGUUCGUUUUAAUAUGCAUAUAUUAUACACUGAAAUUCAAUAUUGAAUUAUCAAUUAUUAAUGCGUGUUUAUUUGCUUCGUUAAUCUGCAAUAUGGGUGUAUAACCAAUAACGAACACUCUUAAAGUCAUCCAAUUCAUAUAAAUCAAUAUCUAAAAAUAUCACAUUUUCAAUACCAAAUCAACAACCACAUGCACACAUAGGACAUGUACCUUAAAAUAGGAUUGAGCGAACAGUACUCAGCAUUUUAAAAAGCUCAAACGUGUAAAUAGCUGUUUUCGCAAAACUGUAU